rnacentral:rRNA from 1 species
GUCGAGCGUGCCUGUGGCUUCGGCCACAAUAGGAAAGCGGCAGACGGCUGAGUAACGCGUGAGUAACUUGCCCUUUGGUGGGGUAUAGCCUCGAGAAAUUGAGGAUAAUCCCGCAUAAGAUCUUCAAGCCCUGGUUUGGAGAUGAAAGCCUUCGGGCGCCAGAGGAGAGGCUCGCGUCCUAUCAGGUAGUUGGUGGGGUAAAAGCUCACCAAGCCUAUGACGGGUAGCUGGUCUGAGAGGAUGACCAGCCAGAGGGGGACUGAGACACGGCCCCCACUCCUACGGGAGGCAGCAGCAGGGAAUCUUGGGCAAUGGGCGAAAGCCUGACCCAGCGACGUCGCGUGGGGGAAGAAGGCCCUUGGGCUGUAAACCCCUUUUCCAAGGGAAGAGAAAGGACGGUACCUUGGGAAUAAGCCCCGGCUAACUACGUGCCAGCAGCCGCGGUAAUACGUAGGGGGCGAGCGUUACCCGGAAUUACUGGGCGUAAAGAGCGCGUAGGCGGCCGAGUAAGUCACUUGUGAAAGCUCCCGGCUUAACUGGGAGAGGUCAAGUGAAACUGCUUGGCUGGAGGGCAGUAGAGGAAAGCGGAAUUCCCGGUGUAGCG